rnacentral:tRNA from 1 species
UCCUCCAUAGCUCAGUGGUUAGAGCGUCCAAUCGGCACCUGGAAGGUUAAUGGGUUCGAUUCCCGUUGGGGAGCUCAGAA